UACGUAGGGCGCGAGCGUUGUCCGGAAUUAUUGGGCGUAAAGAGCUCGUAGGCGGCUUGUCACGUCGGGUGUGAAAGACCGGGGCUUAACUCCGGUUCUGCAUUCGAUACGGGCUAGCUAGAGUGUGGUAGGGGAGAUCGGAAUUCCUGGUGUAGCGGUGAAAUGCGCAGAUAUCAGGAGGAACACCGGUGGCGAAGGCGGCGCUCUGGACCGAGACUGACGCUGAGGCGCGAAAGCGUGGGGAGCAAACAGG
rnacentral:rRNA from 1 species